UACGUAGGGACCGAGCGUUGUCCGGAAUCAUUGGGCGUAAAGAGCGCGUAGGCGGCCCUGUAAGUCCGCUGUGAAAGUCAAGGGCUCAACCCUUGAAUGCCGGUGGAUACUGCAGGGCUAGAGUCCGGAAGAGGCGAGUGGAAUUCCUGGUGUAGCGGUGAAAUGCGCAGAUAUCAGGAGGAACACCGAUGGCGAAGGCAGCUCGCUGGGACGGUACUGACGCUGAGACGCGAAAGCGUGGGGAGCAAACAGG
rnacentral:rRNA from 1 species